CCCCGGAUGGUGUAGUUGGUUUAUCGCGUCUGACUGUAAUGGAUAUCUAUUUGUGAUCAGAAUGUCGCCAGUUCGAUUCUGGCUCUGGGGA
rfam:Aspergillus calidoustus genome assembly, contig: SCAF16